rnacentral:lncRNA from 1 species
UGUAUUCUGAAACUUUGUUGUGCCAGAAACAUGCAUUGUUUUAUCAUUAACCAGAAUUGAGUUAGGGAUUAUCAUUAAGGCAUUAACCAAAAUGGAGUUAGGAUGUCUUUUUUUGUAGUGUAGAAAACGUUGUGUAUACUGAAAUGUGCAUGCUUGCAACAUGUCUGAUAUGGAUUAUAUUUGAGUGAUAUCUUUGUUGAAGAACAUGUGAAAUUAGAGUUCUGGUGGUCUUCUAGAACACACACUGCUCCUCAUCUUUACUUUCUCUACAUAAUUCUUCAAUAUGUUGGUAUGUUCCCGUGACUCCUUGGUUUAGCUAUCCUUAUACAUGCAUGUUGUUACAUAAAUCAAUUAGUUUUUCCCUUAAGGACAGGCCUGGUGCAGUGGUGAGAGGCCUUUCCACUGAGCCAAAGGGCCUGGGUUUGACGCAGCCUCUGCGCAAAAAUGUAGGGUUAAGGAUUGCCUCGGUUAUUACUUCCCCAGACCCGACUCAUGCGGGAGCCGUCAGCACUGGGUCUGUUCUUUUACUGAUUUGUUGAGGGUCUAGACAAAUAUGAGCUCAUAAUGUAUUAUCUUUCAGGAGAUAUACGUGGAGCGUCAGAAUUAUAUGUGCAUCUACAAGAACAGUUACAACAAUUCUCCAUCAG